AUUGAACGCUGGCGGCAUGCCUUACACAUGCAAGUCGAACGGCAGCACGGGAGCAAUCCUGGUGGCGAGUGGCGAACGGGUGAGUAAAGUAUCGGAACGUGCCCAGUCGUGGGGGAUAACGUAGCGAAAGUUACGCUAAUACCGCAUACGAUCUAUGGAUGAAAGCGGGGGAUCGCAAGACCUCGCGCGAUUGGAGCGGCCGAUAUCAGAUUAGGUAGUUGGUGGGGUAAAGGCUCACCAAGCCGACGAUCUGUAGCUGGUCUGAGAGGACGACCAGCCACACUGGGACUGAGACACGGCCCAGACUCCUACGGGAGUCAGCAGUGGGGAAUUUUGGACAAUGGGCGAAGGCCUGAUCCAGCCAUGCCGCGUGCAGGAUGAAGGCCUUCGGGUUGUAAACUGCUUUUGUACGGAACGAAAAGGUUUGGCCUAAUAAGCUGAGCUCAUGACGGUACCGUAAGAAUAAGCACCGGCUAACUACGUGCCAGCAGCCGCAGUAA
rnacentral:rRNA from 1 species